GGCCCGGCCGGGGCGGCGGCGGCGGAACCGGGCGGGCGGCGCGGCCAUGGAGGCGCCCUCGGUACCGGACGCCUCGGCGACGGGGCGGGGGCCCAUCAAGGGCAUCCUGAAGAAGAGCGGCAGCAAGGCAUCGUCGGGAGCGGCCGUGGGGGUGCGACAGACCAGUCAGGCCUGCGACGAGGACGAGCACGGUAAAAAAUCCCAGAAGUGGGAUGAAAUGAACAUCAUAGCUACGUACCAUCCUGCAGGCAAAGAUUAUGGCUUGAUGAAAAUUGAUGAGCCGAGUACUCCUUACCACAGCAUGAUAGGAGAAGAUGAUGAGGAUGCAGUGAGUGAUUCGGAAUAUGAGCCCUUAAGAGCAGAUGUGUUGAGUAAAAAACUGGCAGCUGCAGCUGAAGGUAGAGGACCCAAGAUUAUAGCAAGGCAAGAAGAAAGCAGUGAGGAGGAGGACGAGGAUGAAGAAUUAACACCUGAAGAACGGGAGAAAAAGAAACAGUUUGAAAUGAAGAGAAAAAUGCACUACAAUGAAGGAAGAAACAUCAAACUGGCAAGGCAGCUCAUUGCAAAAGAACUACAUGGUGAAGAAGAGGAAGAUGAUGAGGAUGAAGAGAUGCGUGAUGCUGCAGAUGUAGAAACAAUGAGUACAGAAGCUACUGAACAUGGGGAAAGGAGGGCUGCAGCAGCCAACCGUAUGACCUUUCUGCAUGGCCUGAAGCUGCCAUCUCUCUGCACUCUGCUGUAAAACAGAGGCAACUCCGCUCCCCAGCUGCAUUCGCCAGUGGAAAGAAGGCAGACCUUUGCAGCAUUUUUCCAUCUCUAUUGUUGAAGUCCAUUCCACCUUCCUCAUAACCAGCUUCAGAGCCACAACUGACUGAGAUUUCUUGCUGAUUGAAAUGAAGAUGGCCAGUCCAGUCAGUGAUGGUGAGAACUCUUUGUAUAUUUUUGCUCCUGUCUUCAUUGUGGCAACCAAGUGUUUUAAAUGGAUGGAUCAUUCCUUUCUUGCCUCAAGUAGCCAUGCCUUAUCCCAUGCAUAUGGAUUCUGGCAGCCAAGCUCUUUUGUGGAAAAGAAAGUAGAAAUGGUAAUAGACUGCAUAUGGCAGGGGGGUUGGAGCUGGAUGUUCCUUCCAUAUACAUGGAAGGUUCCUUCCAACACAAACCAUUCUAUGAUUCUACAUUUGCUUGCUUCAGCAUUUCACCUUCACUGGCUAUUUGCUAUUUAUGACUCCAUGAAUAAUAUAAAUAGAAUUCUCCUUUGCCAGCAGAAGUGACCUUUGUUUCUCUCCAUAAAAACCUUCCCUUUAUAAAUUCCCUUUGAAAUCACAGAAGGAAAUAUUCCUGAUGUAGGUUAAUUUAAGGAUGAUGAUUUCAGUGCAAACCUGGAUUCUGCUACACCAAAGUAUCAGCCAGAGGGUGUUGUCCAUAGCAGUUCAAUUGACAAGCAGUAAGACUAUUGUUCUCUUUCUCUGGUUCAUUUAGCUGCAUUGCUCUGCUAACCUUGCUCAGAUGGCACCCAGCAGCUGAGCUGUCACUGACUGGGUGUGCCCUUUGGCCUUUGGUAGAUACAGAAUAUGUUGUGUUUUCUUAACCAGGGCAAGCAUGAAUUAAAGAUGAAUUAAAUGUGAAGGCUGGGAGCACACAGCAAUCAGUUCUGCUGGUUAAGUGUGCUGUUUGCUUGGUAAACUGCAUGUUACCAAAUCUAACUCGUGUCGAAGCCUAACUGGCCUUUUAAAAACAAUAUUAUCAUUUUGAUGAGGUAUUCUUUGAUCAGCACUGAGGAGAAAUUUUCUCUGAUUUAUUGUGGUGUUUUUGCUCAAAAGCACGAGUUAACUCGCUGAAAACAAAACUGACUGCUCCUUCAUGUAUAAAUUUGGGUUUUUUUCAAUUCAAGUGUGUCAUCUGGAACUGAAAUUUGACCUGGAAAGUACUAUGUUUGCUGGUGUUUCAGGAACCUCAUGUGUUAGUUCUAAACACCUGAGUUAAAUCCUCCCAGUUCUGGGGGGGGUGAGCACUCAGUGUUUGGUGUGGUGAACACUGCUGUUGGCCAUCUCUUCAGAGCAUGAGGGUCAAAUAACUGUUUUAGAAGUUUCUGCACUCUCCAAAUAAAAGCUUAUACAUUGCUAAGAAGGGUUGGCAAACAUUAUCUUUGGAGAAGCAGAGAUGAUUUCAGGGGGAAAUUUGUGUGUGUUGUGAAAGUAUUCAAUGGGUGUGAAGAAUUAUCUAUUUUUUGUAAUCUUUCUUAUGCAGCACAUGUUACUCGUGACCAGCUGGAAAGUAGAGCACACAGCAUAGAAGAAAUCUGUCCAGAACUGUAACUGCUUGUCAAAGACACAAAUAUAAACAUCGCUUCAUGAUUUUUGCAAUUAAGGCUCUUAAAUGUUAAGAAGCAUAUCAGUUACAAUGUUGUAUUGCCAAGAAUGUUAAUUUUAGACUUGUCCAUUAGGCAGAAAACACUGCCUAAUUGACUUUUUCUUGUGCCUAGUAUUUCAUGGAGAAUACUGCUUCAUAAUUUCUUCAACCAGAAUGGCAUUCCCUGUAUGUAUAGCGCUGAUUAUCUUGUGUGAUGUACUGUUUCUCUUGCUUUGAAACACUCACUAUCUUUUGGUUUUUCACUAUUUAUUUGAGAGUGUUCUAGAUGUGGUGUCUCAUACAGAAAGUUUUGGGAUUCAAGAGCCAAACGGUACAGCGUAUAUCAGAUUGACAUGUAAGCUAUUUAUCAGAUGUGUUAAGCAGUUUAAAAAGGGAUUAUUCAAGUCCUACAACUUUUUUUUCGUAAAGCACUGACCUGUUAAUCUAGAUUUCAGUACGUUUUUACCUGCACUUUCCCAGUCUUUAGAACAAGAGCUGUUAUUUCUUUAGAGCGGUGUUUGGAAUCAAUUGUUAGUUUCUGACUAAAGCAGUACUAACAUCUGGUGGAGGGAGUGUUUCUACACUGGAAACGGCUAACUUGAACUUUGCAUUUAACUUUCAUAACCUCUUCCAUCAGGACUGGUUGUUUUGUGGAGCUCUCUCUGGCUUAUUGUGAGAAUGUGCAAAUUUCCUCCAGCAUUUCUCUUAAAAUCCCAUCCACUGUUGCUCUUCUGGCUCUUGUUUCAAAUGUUUGGUUCUUUCCAGUUGCAUGAACAGUGUUUGUGCUGUUAGCACCUGAGGAAAAACACCCAGCCACGAAGAAAUAUACAUCAGGACUGAAGAAGUGCUGAGCUUAGGCUCUGGCUGUUCUUUAUUAAAGAUAACUGCUAUUGAUCUACUCAUUUAAGGUUGGCAACUUCCAUACUGAAAACCACUGGUCUAAAUCUUCCUGUGUCCAUUGCAACUUACAGCGACUGCUUUUGUAAAAUGAAGGCUUUUUGGAAGCUAGAAGGGAAACUGCUUAAUUCAAAUACUUGUUUACAGUGUGGUUGUAUAGCUGUAAAGAGGGAUUCUGCACCUCCAAAUUGCUGUAAAAACUUCCCACUGGGUGGAAUUUGACUGGGAAUGUUCCAGUAUUCAGAGCAGUUUCUGGGUUUUAUUACACAAAGUACACACUUAAGCUUUAGCUUGGUUAUGAAAUACAGUGUGUAUCUUAAUUUUGAUCUGAAUUUGAUAUGUUUCAAAAAUCCAUAUAAUUAUAUGGAUCUAUUUUAAAAUGUCUUUUUCUCCACUGUAUAUGUGAAGUUUGAAUAAAGGAAUUAAAGUUAUUUUACAGUUACAUGCAUUCUCAAGUGUGAGCUUUCCUGAAGUUCCAGAGAAACUGAGAGUGAAUAAGGCAAUAGGAUGCUGUUCCCUGAAAGAUAUUUACAGAAAUGAUUCAUUAGACUGGAAGCAUUGCCAAAGAUACCUGUGAGUUGUGCUAAUUGGGUUUUGUAGUGUGCCUUUCCCAACUAUCUCCUCUCCUUAAUAGGUAACAAGUGUCAGUUUUGAGUUAAUAUUCUAAGGUCCUGAAUCAAGAAUAAUCAGGUCUUUUCACAAGAAAGAGUGGAACUCUUGAUUCUGGCCAGCGUGGUGAUGCUAAUUUUUCAACAUGCAGGAUGCUAUUUCUUCUUGUAUCAAAUGUCACCUGCAUAGAGUAAACAGGGGCAAAGGGUAAGCAUUUAGAUACUUCUGACUUGCCAAGUCAUUUACUGUAUCUUUCAAUUGGCUCCCAAGAAUAGGAUUUCAAAACUUUAGGUUUGUACCCUUUAUGCCCCAGCUGAGCACUGAAAUCUUGCUGAGAGGAUGGCAGUGCUUGGCAAAGCCGUGUUGCUGUCAGACUGAGCAUGGAUGUGGUGAGCAAUAUGUGCAAGUAACAUCACUGUGAUCUGUGAGGCUGUGGAACAUAUCACUUGUACUUUGUGCUAAGUACCCAUGGUUACUUUAUACCUGCAAUUAAGGUAGAAUCCAGCAGCAGCUAAUGUCCUGUGCUCCUUAACCCCCCUCUUUUCUUUUAUGCAAGGCCAUCUGGUGCUCAGCAGGGCUUCUUUGUACCUUACAAGACCUAGAAAACAUUUUGGUUAACAAAUAAACUUUGCUAACUUCCAAUAAAGACACUUCCUGAAAUGGCUUCCAAAAUCCCUAAUGAAAGGAGUAUGUAGCUUUGAGGGAGAUACAUGAAUUCAUGAAGAUGGUUUUAACUGAACCACAUAAUGUAUAGUAGGUCCCUUCAUCACUCAGAUGAUUUUAAGCUGCAUGGGUGAUCUCCCUUUUUCUGUGCCACCAAACACCUAAAUUCCAAGUUUGAUGCUAUUUUGAAACUUGAUUUAGUUUGGGGCUUUUUUAAAGGCUUUGUUCUCUGCAUUCUCCUCAGUGCUCGCAAAAAUUCUGUUCACAGUGCUCCUUUGUCUUCCUCAGCAGAAGUGCAACCUGAUGUCCCAGACAUUGCAUCUGAUUGAAAGGCUGGCUUACUUGGUUUUCUCUGCUUAUACCUUGAUGCAUUUUAAAAGCUAAAUUGGGCAAGUUUUAAUUUGCAUUAGGUCCAGAAACUCCAUAUAGCUUUUUUUACAAAGGGAUGUCUGAUUUCCUUCUGCUUGAGAAAUAUCAGUUAGAGUUCCCUGCUGAAUGGGAACAGGAAAAGAAAUGUCUUUUCUCUUUUUCCAUUUGAUGGGGAAUUAGCUUGCAUGCACUUCUUAAUCUUUAGGUGCAUAUGGUAAAGACUCGUGUACAAUACAGAGUGGUGUAAAGAGGAAACAAGCACAGUCCUUACUUAUGUGGACAGUGAGCUCCACAGCACCUUAAUUGUGAAUCUUCUUGCACAGGUUUAAGUCUUCAACCUUCAUCCUGUUUAGAAAAACAUUUUCAAUAUGCUUCCAAUAGGAAGAUCACUUGCAAAUAAGAGCCUUAACUCAUGUGUAUAGAUUUUUUUUGUGUGUGUCUUUAGUUUCUUUUCCACCAACUUGUACACAAUUCAUGGAAACUGCAGAUACUUUUUCCACAGUUCACUCUCUCAUGUGAAACUUGUACAUCUUACCAGAACUCUUUGUUUCUGUAAUAUGCUUUCUUGUGGUAUUAUGAUGCCACCUCACAAAUGUAAUUAUUCUGUUUGAAACUAGUGCUAAGUGUCACAACAUAAAUAAAGCCAUUGUUUUCAUUACUGCCUUACAGCACUAA